AUCACAGAGCGAACUAUUCUUUCGCCUUUUACUAAAGAAUACCGUGUGCGCGCCGCUUUCAAGCAGCAUACGUUAAUUUUUGGAGAGGCUACUCUUGCUAGAGUGGUCUCUAUAAAAUGAGUUAAAUAUUUCUCUCCUUCAUUGGAGUGUAUGGGGUUAGUGUUUUUUUCCUGAGCCUGUAUCUGGUCCAUUUCAUUGAUCCUCUGAAUCUCUCUGUUAUGUAUUUAUCUGAAUGUCCUUUCAAAUCAUAUGAUUCAACUGAAUUAAUAGUAAGCUGAAAGAAUUAUAAUAUAAACGCAUUAGUUCUACAUAGUGCAUGCUUUCCAUGCGUCAAUUACCGGCAUUGCGAUACGUAAUGCGAGUUGAGAUGAAUGCAAAUAAGAGUUAAAUCCCACACCGGAAGGAUAAAGGAAAUGAUUCGCCUAGCGUGUUAUAAGAAAGGAGACGGAAGGAGUUAUCGAUAUCUUUGCGCUUGGGGCAAUGACGCAGCUAGUGAGGUUCUAACCGAGGCGCGUCAAUUGCUGGUUGAAAACUAUUUCCAAACCCCCUCUUAGGCCUGGGUUCGCCCUAGGCCUCGGAGAAUUUCUGGAAGGGCUCCCUCCGGGGUAAAGCCCUACAAUUUUAGUGAAUGCGGUAGUAACAAGAACAUAAUCCCACACCGAAAGGGCGGAAGAAACGACUCGCCUAGCAUAUUUACGUUAAGGGAGACGAAUUCAGUUAACGGUAUCUUUGCGCUUGGGGCAAUGACGCAGCUAGUGAGGUUCUAACCGAGGCGCGUCUAUUGCUGGUUGAAAACUAUUUCCAAACCCCCUCUUUGGUCUGGGUUUUACCCUAGGCCUUCGAGAAUUUCUGGAAGGGCUCCCUGAGGGGUAAAGCCCUACAAUUUUUACUUGCAAACGUUUUCUGAUUUUAAGGGGUUCCACGCCGCCAUCAUCUAUUUACAUUGACGGCCGAUUGAUCUUGUGAAUUACGACAGAAAACAUGCCCAUGAAUUGACAAGGAUUGCACAGAGCAUAAAGUUUCCUAAUGAUUCUUCAAUAGGCCAAGGUUUUGGCUUAAGCAGGGGGAGGAAAGCGCAGACCGUGGGUGGACAGAUGGCUUGGAAAA